ACUAAAGUAAAAAUUCGAAUAUUGUGUUUUGUGUAGCAACAUAUUAGAAAUUCGAAUAUCGUGUGCAGUGUUUAGUAACCCUAAUUGACUUAAAGUUGAUAAUAACAAUAAUAAGUGUCCUAAUCAUGAAUUUUUUAAUAAAAUAUUAAGUCGAAUUACCAGUUACAGCAGUCUCCAAAGUAGAUGAAUGAACUAAUACUGAAACAGGAGUGGGAGCACCUAUCGCAGCAGGACUAAUAAUUAAUACUAUCUAUAUAUAUGUAAAGACGAGAUGGGCACACUGAUCUGAGAUUGCCCCUAUUUUGAUGAGGCGUGGAGCAGCGGAGAGUGAGAGGCAUCUAAGAGAGAGAGUCGAAGGGCAGUCGUCGUCGAGAACGGGCAAGAUAUAAACGGGUUACGAGAGCGUUCGGCAGUUAUGAAAUCAAUUAUUAUUCUCAAAGAAAUAUACAUAUGUACUACACCUCAAUUUAAACAUUUCAGUUAAUAUUAUAUACAAUAAACUAUUACAAAUAUAA